rnacentral:lncRNA from 1 species
CUUCUCCGCCACUGCAGGCUUUGGGCAGAGGCAGGAACCAGCUAGCUUAAGGAGUUUGGAUGUUUACCCCUUGGUGCUGAGGUGCUUUCGGCCCCCAGUGAAACCGUGCAAACAACUUCGUAGUGGGAUUCUGCAGGGUGGCCCGGAGAAUGUGGAGGAGCCGGCCGGAGGUGGAGGUAGGCAGGAGGGGUACACACCAGUGUCAGUUCAGGAGGCCUGCACAGGAAUGUCUGCUUCUGAUAACAGAAACCGAAGCGAUUCCCAAUUUUAUUUUAUUUUAUUUUUCCCCCUUGAGUAGCUAAAUGCCUUUUCUGAGUAAAGGAAGAGACAACUUCGAAUGGGUGGAGGAAGAAGCUGAAACCAAUGUCAGAUCUAUUUAGUUCUAGACACCCAGGGAGCUCUUGAUAGAUAUACAUAUCCAGCAGACAGCACUAUGCAUUGACGCCAGGUGGAGACCUCAGCUUUCCCUUGAGAGAUAUAAUCCAGAUUCUGGACAUGGAAGCAGGAAGACCACUCAUUAAAGGUCUGCCUGGGAAAUUUAAUGAGGCCAGCAGCUCAAAAUAAAAGAAGUAGAAAGAGGGCUAGUGACAUAGUGCAAUAGUAGCAUGCUCACCCAGCAUGUGCCCUAUCCCAGCAUCAUUAAAUAGGCAAAUAAAUAAGCAGACUAUUGGCAACUUCUGAACACAGAGGCAACCAGGCCCGUGGGAGAGUGUGGACUGGUAUCCCCUCUGUAAGAGCAGCCCAGGUUCUCUCCUCUUCAAGCCUAUUUCCAACUGAUUGUUUGUAACCUCUCCAUUAUUUCCUCCAAAGACAAGGAAGGAUGUGACUUGAAAGUCCCCUUUGGAAGAAAAGAGGGGCUGGCUGGCUGGGAAAGCAAUUGGGCACCUGGAGCUCCAGUCCCAAUAUUGACUAUGUAGGUUUGGGCAGGACUCUAAACAUCUUUGAGAUUUUCACAGACGUGAAAUGUUAUAAUAACAUGUAUCUCCCUGGGCUACUGUGAAGAGUCCAUGAAGAAGAGCAUGUGAAUUCUUCUGAGAGUCAUAAAAUAGAUGGUUCACUCUGCCGUACUUUAAAGAAGAUAUUUACUGGCUCCGGAGCGGAACCAAUCAUUCUCAGAGUGGUGUGACAUUUAGAGAGUGUCAUGAGGUGUCACAGGAGAUGGCUUGGAGAAGCCAGUACAGCCUUCCUAGUGUAACAGUGAGGGCAGCAGGUUAUAGCACCUGCCUCUCCCUCAGGCUUUGAACCUCCCACCUUGAUCCUGGGACAACUCUCACCUCGGGAAGGACAACAAAGGCACCGGUCAUCACUGUGAGCACUAUGUUAAUCCCAAAUAGCCACCUCAGGAAGAUGAAGUAGGAGGCCACACCAGACCCGAAGUGACCUACGGAAAGACAACGGAGAGUGGCUCUGCUCAACCCUCACAGCACAGAGAGCCUUCUCACUCACCUUCAGCAGCAGCAAACACAGGAAGAGUGAUGUCAUAUGGUGCCCCCCACCCCCACUGUUGGCUGCUUAGCUGGGUCAGCAUCCUGUGCCUGGUCCCUGGUUCUGUAUACAGCUCUGGUUGACUCAAACACUGACAACCUUCCCAGUGCUGUACCCAUUUGAAUAUGCUGAGUCAAACUUACUAACUCAUGGGUUAAGAGACUUUCAUAUUCUGUAAUAUGCUGCAUUACUUUGCAUAUUCCAAGGUUUUUCUAAGGUCCUUUGCCUUAAUUUCAACAUGGAAACUAUUGUGGUGUUUACUGGUGUAGUCAGAUAAAGGGUAUGUAGAAACUCUGUAAUGUUCUGUAUUCACACACUUCCUCUCAGCUUAAAGGGAAGAGAGCAUUUAACUCCACUGAAAUAUCAGAAAUGAUUUUUCUAA